rnacentral:rRNA from 1 species
GAUGAACGCUGGCGGCGUGCCUAAUACAUGCAAGUCGAGCGAACAGACGAGGAGCUUGCUCCUCUGACGUUAGCGGCGGACGGGUGAGUAACACGUGGAUAACCUACCUAUAAGACUGGGAUAACUUCGGGAAACCGGAGCUAAUACCGGAUAAUAUAUUGAACCGCAUGGUUCAAUAGUGAAAGACGGUUUUGCUGUCACUUAUAGAUGGAUCCGCGCCGCAUUAGCUAGUUGGUAAGGUAACGGCUUACCAAGGCAACGAUGCGUAGCCGACCUGAGAGGGUGGUCGGCCACCCUGGAACGGAGACACGGUCCAGACUCCUGCGGGAGGCAGCAGUAGGGAAUCUGCCGCAAUGGGCGAAAGCCUGACGGAGCAACGCCGCGUGAGUGAUGAAGGUCUUCGGAUCGUAAAACUCUGUUAUUAGGGAAGAACAAAUGUGUAAGUAACUAUGCACGUCUUGACGGUACCUAAUCAGAAAGCCACGGCUAACUACGUG